ACGAGCGAGAGAGAGCUUGCUUUCUCGAGCGAGUGGCGAACGGGUGAGUAACGCGUGAGGAACCUGCCUCAAAGAGGGGGACAACAGUUGGAAACGACUGCUAAUACCGCAUAAGCCCACGACCCGGCAUCGGGCAGAGGGAAAAGGAGCAAUCCGCUUUGAGAUGGCCUCGCGUCCGAUUAGCUAGUUGGUGAGGUAACGGCCCACCAAGGCGACGAUCGGUAGCCGGACUGAGAGGUUGAACGGCCACAUUGGGACUGAGACACGGCCCAGACUCCUACGGGAGGCAGCAGUGGGGAAUAUUGCACAAUGGGGGAAACCCUGAUGCAGCGACGCCGCGUGGAGGAAGAAGGUCUUCGGAUUGUAAACUCCUGUUGUUGAGGAAGAUAAUGACGGUACUCAACAAGGAAGUGACGGCUAACUACGUGCCAGCAGCCGCGGUAAAACGUAGGUCACAAGCGUUGUCCGGAAUUACUGGGUGUAAAGGGAGCGCAGGCGGGAAGACAAGUUGGAAGUGAAAUCCAUGGGCUCAACCCAUGAACUGCUUUCAAA
rnacentral:rRNA from 1 species